rfam:Myotis brandtii contig158461, whole genome shotgun sequence.
UGCGGUUCUCGGGUGAUACACCUGGAACCAGAGAGGUGGGAGCUUGGUUCCUGGGUGUGUCACCUGAGAACUGCC